UCUGUGCUCUCGGUGUAUCAAUCUGCUCGCACGUGGAUUACUCCUGCGCGCUCGUGUGAAACAUUUGGCUGUUUAGAAGAAAAAAGACAUUUACCUGCCUAUGAUUGGCCACUUUUCCGCUAUCCCCGCCCCAUGACCCCUGUUGCUAACCGUGACCAGCUAAUGCAUCUGAGAUGAAAACGUUUUUCAGGAAAUCGGAGUUUGAUUAGUUAAGGAAAUGACUGAUUCAAAGGAGGAGCACUUGCGGAGCAUGGCCGUAAAUGUAUUAACUAUGCUGCGAUCAGCAAGUGAACCAGCUGGUAUGUAAAAUAGAGCACUGUACACAACAUGGUUAUUAUUUACAUAUAAUAGUCUAUUUGGAAUGUGUUUUGAAUGUAUAAAAUACUUGUUGCAAUCUGGCACCACUGCUCUAAUACGUUAUUGUGCAGGCAGCACUGCUGCUGUUAAUGUUACAGCUAAUAUUAUUCAUGUGUAAUGUAUUGUAUAAUUAAGUUCAGGGACAGAGCCCUGCUGGGGCAGCCAGGGGACAGGAAACAGGGGGAGAGGCAACAGGACGACAGGGACUUAGUGAGGCACCCUCAUGUUCCACCCCAAUUCAGCGAAACAUGGCCGGGUUUGGAAAUACAUUUCCAAGGAUGUGUUAUAUCGCUGUAUUUUGACAAAUUCUCCAAGAGUGGAGAAUAUAUGUGAAGCUCUUAAUUAACUUUGAAGUUGUCCAUUCUUUUUUAAAAGAUGUUUUCCAGGUCUUUUUAAAGACAAAAAGGGAAAGGCGGUAAAGAGGGCAGGAAUAAAGAGAACACCGGUGGCUUUUUUUCCUUUUACACAAACCCACAGAAAAAACAUCAAAACAUUCUGAGGAGCUAACCCUUCUUCAAGCUGGGUUAGGAAAGAAGACAGUUCAAAUUCCUGAGGAUGGAAAUCACAAGGAGGUAUUUUCAUCAUCAUCAUUCUCUGCAAAUUCUUUAAUGGGAGCAGGAGAACACCAAGUCUUUGCUUGCACUUUCCAAUUGCUUAGUACCUUAUGCAGCACCCUCUGAUGUUUCUGCAUACUACUUUUUUUAACAUAUAAUAUUUACACACUGUUGAGACCAUCAGGUAUAUUUUAUCUGUACACUUGUCUGUUUUCUUUUUUAUUUUUAUUUGCCUUAAUCUGUUUCUGAGUACCAUUUUCGCAAAGUACAAUGUUUGCUAAACAAUUUUAAUGUAGUUAUCUUCCAUAUGAUUUUUGACAGAUCUUAGACAUUCUU